rnacentral:rRNA from 1 species
UACAGAGGGGGCGAGCGUUGUUCGGAAUUACUGGGCGUAAAGGGCGCGUAGGCGGCCCGCUAAGUCAGACGUGAAAUCCCUCGGCUCAACCGAGGAACUGCGUCUGAUACUGGUGGGCUCGAAUCCGGGAGAGGGAUGCGGAAUUCCAGGUGUAGCGGUGAAAUGCGUAGAUAUCUGGAGGAACACCGGUGGCGAAGGCGGCAUCCUGGACCGGCAUUGACGCUGAGGCGCGAAAGCCAGGGGAGCAAACGGG